rnacentral:rRNA from 1 species
UACGUAGGGUGCAAGCGUUGUCCGGAAUUAUUGGGCGUAAAGAGCUCGUAGGCGGUCUGUCGCGUCUGCUGUGAAAACCUAGGGCUUAACUCUGGGCGUGCAGUGGGUACGGGCAGGCUAGAGUGCGGUAGGGGAGACUGGAAUUCCUGGUGUAGCGGUGAGAUGCGCAGAUAUCAGGAGGAACACCGGUGGCGAAGGCGGGUCUCUGGGCCGAUACUGACGCUGAGGAGCGAAAGCGUGGGGAGCGAACAGG